rnacentral:rRNA from 1 species
UACGAAGGGGGCUAGCGUUGUUCGGAAUUACUGGGCGUAAAGCGCACGUAGGCGGUAUGUUAAGUCAGGGGUGAAAUCCCGGGGCUCAACCCCGGAACUGCCUUUGAUACUGGCAUUCUCGAGUCCGGAAGAGGUGAGUGGAAUUCCGAGUGUAGAGGUGAAAUUCGUAGAUAUUCGGAGGAACACCAGUGGCGAAGGCGGCUCACUGGUCCGGUACUGACGCUGAGGUGCGAAAGCGUGGGUAGCAAACAGG